rnacentral:rRNA from 1 species
CCUACGGGAGACAGCAGUGAGGAAUAUUGGUCAAUGGCCGCAGGGCUGAACCAGCCAAGUCGCGUGAGGGAUGACGGUCCUAUGGAUUGUAAACCUCUUUUGUCAGGGAGCAAAGGGCGCCACGUGUGGCGCUUUGCGAGUACCUGAAGAAAAAGCAUCGGCUAACUCCGUGCCAGCAGCCGCGGUAAUACGGAGGAUGCGAGCGUUAUCCGGAUUUAUUGGGUUUAAAGGGUGCGCAGGCGGAAUGUCAAGUCAGCGGUAAAAUUUCGGGGCUCAACCCCGUCGUGCCGUUGAAACUGGCGUUCUUGAGUGAGCGAGAAGUAUGCGGAAUGCGUGGUGUAGCGGUGAAAUGCAUAGAUAUCACGCAGAACUCCGAUUGCGAAGGCAGCAUACCGGCGCUCAACUGACGCUCAUGCACGAAAGCGUGGGUAUCGAACAGGAGUAGAUACCCUAGUAGUC